rnacentral:tRNA from 23 species
GCGGGUGUAGCUCAGUGGUAGAGCACAACCUUGCCAAGGUUGGGGUCGAGGGUUCGAAUCCCUUCGCCCGCUCCA